UACAGAGGGGGCUAGCGUUAUUCGGAAUUAUUGGGCGUAAAGGGCGCGUAGGCGGCCUUGCGUGUCUUCCGUGAAAUCCCUCGGCUCAACUGAGGACGGGCGGAAGAAACUGCGAGGCUGGAGUCCGGGAGAGGAGGGUGGAAUUCCCAGUGUAGCGGUGAAAUGCGUAGAUAUUGGGAGGAACACCGGUGGCGAGGGCGGCCCUCUGGACCGGUA
rnacentral:rRNA from 1 species